rnacentral:rRNA from 1 species
GACGUAGGUGGCGAACGUUAUCCGGAAUUAUUGGGCGUAAAGGGUGCGUAGGUGGCCUGACAAGUUAUCAGUGGCAAAUCGAGGCUCAACCUCGUGGAAACUGGUAAUACUGUUCGGCUUGAGUACAGGAGAGGUUAACGGAACUCUAUGUGGAGCGGUAAAAUGCACAGAUAUAUAGAAGAACAUCAAUAAAGGCGAAAGGCAGUUAACUAUUCUGUUAACUGACGCUGAGGCACGAAAGCGUGGGGAGCAAACGGA